rnacentral:rRNA from 1 species
UACAGAGGUCCCAAGCGUUGUUCGGAUUCACUGGGCGUAAAGGGUGCGUAGGUGGUGAGGUAAGUCGGAUGUGAAAUCUCCGAGCUCAACUCGGAAACUGCAUUGGAAACUACCUUGCUCGAGGGUUGGAGGGGGGACUGGAAUGCUUGGUGUAGCAGUGAAAUGCGUAGAUAUCAAGCGGAACACCAGUGGCGAAGGCGAGGCCCUGGACAACUCCUGACACUGAGGCACGAAAGCUAGGGGAGCAAACAGG